rnacentral:rRNA from 1 species
AGUGAACGCUGGCGGUAGGCCUAACACAUGCAAGUCGAACGGCAGCACAGUAAGAGCUUGCUCUUACGGGUGGCGAGUGGCGGACGGGUGAGGAAUACAUCGGAAUCUACUUUUUCGUGGGGGAUAACGUAGGUAAACUUACGCUAAUACCGCAUACGACCUACGGGUGAAAGCAUGGGAUCUUCGGACCUUGCGCGAUUGAAUGAGCCGCUGUCGGAUUAGCUAGUUGGCGGGGUAAAGGCCCACCCAGGCGACGAUCCGUAGCUGGUCUGAGAGGAUGAUCAGCCACACUGGAACUGAGACACGGUCCAGGCUCCUACGGGAGGCAGCAGUGGGGAAUAUUGGACAAUGGGCGCAAGCCUGAUCCAGCCAUACCGCGUGGGUGAAGAAGGCCUUCGGGUUGUAAAGCCCUUUUGUUGGGAAAGAAAAGCAGCAGGUUAAUACCCCGCUGUUCUGACGGUACCCAAAGAAUAAGCACCGGCUAACUUCGUG